rnacentral:piRNA from 1 species
UUGAAUAUUUGCUCUCAGAGACUCUAUGAUU